CUAACUUGAAAAGUAAAGACAGUAAAUGAAUCUGCAAUUUGAAAAACAAGAAACCUAACCCAGUCAAAUCGAAGAACGGCUGGCACCCAUUACUAUUCAACGUUCCUUUAUCACAUCCCAUCCGUUUCUGCCGAUAGCACUUCCCAAGAAAAAUAAGAAAUCAAUUGCUAUCUAUUUUGAACUUACUUUCUUCACCAGAGUUUUUUCAAUCGGGCCAUUGUCUCCAUCGUCCCUCCGAGGCAUUCUCUUAGUCUCUCCAAUCUUCUCCCCUCAGUCCCCCAUAAUGUUGACCCACUGCAUGCCCAUCGAGAUGCCAAGAUUUAAAGCUUCAAGGCAUGCGAAUGCCUCUGCUGCAAAUGGUGUCGACACAUUGUUGUGAAUAGUCGAUUUGGAUACCAGUAGUUCUCCCCUCGAGCUUGGAGCCACCAGACCCGACGCUGACUGAAAACUUGUAUUGUCGAAUGCUGCAUCGAACUGGAUCUAUAAUCUCGCCACAGAGUGAAACAAAAUAGACGACACUGUUUGUUAGAUCCAUUUGCGAACACCCAGUGCAUUGACGAAAUAUAUGCUAACUGUUUUCAACUCCGGAGUGGCAGCGGGGACAUCUGUCAUUUGAAAGGAGUCUUCUGUACCUAAGAUUAGCGAGAUGGGGGAUAAAAUCCCAUGAAAUUCUCCAAAUAAUGAUUGUGAUUUUUGCGGGUAGUCGUAAAUUCCAAAGCUUUCUGUAAAAUUUUUUAAUUUCGGCAUGUAUUAAAUGAUUCCUAGGAUCCAUAGUAGCUUCUUGUAAUAGUUUAUAGGCACUACGUACUGAGUAUUCGCCCGAUUGUUCUCCUUUCCACACCUGAAAAUCCUCAUGUUCUGUCUCUGCAAGCGGAAUUUGUAGGAUUUUUUGAAGCAACAUCUGCUUGAAAGGUUUCUCAAUUCCUGGGAUUCAACUGUCAUUCCAAAUAGAAACCUUAUCCCCUCUACCCACUCUCCAACAAAGUCCAUUUUGAAGAAGACCCUUAGCUGCCCAUAUGCUUCUCCAGUUGAGUGAAGAUUUGAGAAACUGGUGGCAGCAGAACGGUAGGUAACCAGCAACCGUGAGGAUACAAUUUGGCUUUUGAAAGCAGACUACAGAAGAAAACUAAAGAAAGAAAAACAAGAAACACAAAAGACAAACGACUUAAAAAAGCGAACUUAGAAACCCAUGCCAGCGGCGGUAGACAGAAAACUUGCUAGGGAAGCAGACCUAAAUCAUCAUUUAUUAGAUUUUCAUAUUUUAUAGUAUUUAUAAGUUUUUUUAUAAUUUUUAUAAUUUUAUAUAUAUUAUAAUAUUUUUGUUUUUUUAUAUUUUAUAUUUUUAAUUAUUUUUAUGGAAAAAUAUUAUAUUAAAUCAUAAA